rnacentral:rRNA from 1 species
CUUCGAAGGCUAAGUACUCCUUACUGACCGAUAGCGAACCAGUACCGUGAGGGAAAGGUGAAAAGCACCCCGACGAGGGGAGUGAAACAGUACCUGAAACCGAACGCCUACAAUCAGUCGGAGCUCCUUACGGAGUGACGGCGUACCUUUUGUAUAAUGGGUCAUCGACUUGGUCUAUCUAGCGAGCUUAAGCCGAUAGGUGUAGGCGCAGCGAAAGCG